rnacentral:lncRNA from 1 species
UUUUUUUUUUUUUGAAGCAAUUAAAUUUCAUUAGAAUAAGGCUAAUGCCAAGUUUACAAAAUAGAGAAUAGAAAUAAAAAAUAGAAGUAAAAAGAAAUGAGCAAAAUGCUCAUUGACUCUCUCCUAUUAGCUAUGUAGUCUAGUUAUACAGUAACUAGAUACGCUGCCUCAGAAGGUUGGUCUCCCAUACUUCCAUCAUAGAUGUCUCUAAAGGGUGACAACAACUCUUCUUGUAAUACACUGAAUCAAAGAAGAGACUGAUGUCUUUAAUGACCUCCUUAAGGACUACCUCAGGAGGCCUACUAAUGUGCUGCCUAUACCUUUUAUUUCUUUCCGUCCAUAUAUGCCACGACAAGCACCCAUCCAUCCAUCCAUUACUUAUUUGUUGCUUUGCUCGCAAUGUCUUGUAUUCUUGAGAUUGAUUUUUUGCGAAAAAAUAUCUUUCAAGUAAACAUAAACAAGACUUUUUGCAAAGGUAAAUGUGAUUCUCAUUGGUAGAAGACAUUAAAUUUAUAAGAGAAUUCCAAAGUUAAUAAAUUAUAGAAAUCAACGACGGAUAGAUUGAAAAAUCUGUGUUCAAUUCAUCCACUUAUCCAAAAAAUAUAAUCUUCCAAAGGAUUGAGUCUAUCUUUAAAUUUUUUGGGUUAGAAGACCUACCUCCCAAUGGAUCUUAAUGUAUAUAGAAAUCCAUCCUCUUCUUUCCUGUGUUUCCAUCUUAGGUUUCUCUCUUCCUAUAUAUUCCAUUCAUUGGCAGAUGUGAGUAUGAAGAAGAUAUCCCAAGCUACAUUUUUACUCAAAUAAAAGUUGCUACCAAGAUUUCAAGGAUACAAGAUUUAUGCUAAUUUUCCAUGAACCUUAAAACUUAAAAUCUUAUCUAAUUUUUACAGAAGAAAAUAAUGCAUGCUCCUUCUAUUUAUUACAAGAUAUGGAGAGGGCGAUCAUUCGGGACUUAGUAUCACAUAUUCUUCAAUUUGAAUCAUACAUAAUCAAGGCCAUCAAUUUUGUAGCUGAGCUUGAUUGGUAUCCCUCCUUUUUUAUUUGUGUGCUCAUUUUUCACAUUGUGUUAUUAUUUAUUAAUGUUCUACUAUAAUGACCUGAUUGUUUUAAAUAUCUGUGUUAUCAGUAUUUUGUCAUUGGCAUUAGUUGCACGCCUGAAUAACUAUACACGGCCUGUUUUGUCUGAAGAAAACCUUCUUACAAUACAGAAUGGAAGGUUUAUAUUUUCUGUGCCAGUGAUUGUGUUCCUAAUUUAAUUAUACAUGGACAUGCCUUAAACUAGAACAUUAGGCAUGUUUUGCAGGAAAUGACCGUUGAUACUUUUGUUCCCAACGAUACAAAUAUUCAUAAUGGUAAUCAUUUGAUUGUAGAUGCAAUUAGCGUCUUAUUUUUCCCACCUAAAAUAUUGAAUUUAUCUUCAGGCGGAAUAAACAUCAUAACUGGUCCAAACUAUUCUGGAAAGAGUAUAUAUAUGAAGCAGGUAAAUCAUAUGCUCAAAUGCUUCACAUUCCAAAUUACCAAUAAUAACUCUGUUUAAAGUUGUUACUUUCAGUUUCAAAGGUGGAUCUGGAUAUAUGCGUGGUGUGUUGUUGUUUCCCUAACACCUUAGGACAGAAAACGAAGGGAUAUAGAUGCUGAUGGUGUUGAAUUUUUCUUUGUGAGGGUGUCGUGCACCUGGCGACCACACUAACUCCUUGGUCUGAUUAUCGGGACUGAAUUAAAUCCUCGGGUCUAGAUGAAAAUACCCGUUUAUUUAGGUCCAUCUUAAUUGUUAGGUGAUUCCUUAAUAUUUUUCUUUGAUAAUCAGAAUAAAAAAUAUUAUCCACCUGCAGUCAAUUAUUAAUUAGAUUUGGAGUCAAUUAUUAAUUAGCCCAACAGUCUAUCCACCUGCUGAUUAUAUUUGUACCUACUACCUAGAAAUAUAAGGAGAGACUGGCACAUGAAGAGGUCCUUUCUCUAAACCUAACUUGUUUUUUCUUUCAUAGUGGAGCAGUAUUACAAUUUAGAAACGGAUUAGUUCUCAUUAAUUCUCCAUCAUGUUUAGAUCAGAUCUCGAUCACUACUUAUAGAGUUGACCGGUAGUUAAUCUUGUUACAACUACUGUACAUUUACAUUAUACACCUUUGAUUAUGGAGUAACUAUGAAUCUAUGAUUACUCCCUAACAGGCGGGAAUAACUUUUUUUUUGAGAAAUUAAAGUUUUCAUUGCUGAAAAAGGAGGAUGGGCAGAGCCCAAGAUUACAGAUAUAGGGAAAUGCAAAUACAGUAAAUGUAGAAAACAUAAAAUGUAAAACAUUGUCUAUCUCUUAUACAGCUGUGGCCCUGACUAAUUAGCCAAGGACUGAAGCCUCAAAAGGUUGGACUCCCAUGAGCGUAUAGCCUGUAUUUCAAUCUGUAAAAGAUUGUGCUUCUUAUAGGAUGUAGAUUCGUAUGUAAUGCUCACAUCCUUAAUAAUUUCUCUGCUAACAAUUUCUGGGGGCCUUAGGGUGUGUUGUUUCAAUCUCCUAUUCCUUUCACACCAUAUGUGCCAGGAGAGAGAUGCUAGCAUAGUCCAGUGUACCCCUUCAGGCCUCAACAGCUGGACUUGUGGGUGAAUUUUUGUAUUGUUUCUAUAAUGUCGCCUAUCCUGAUGUCUAUUGCGAGAGAAGGGGGAUUUUGUCCACUAAGUGUCCAAACCACGUUAUUAAGAUGGUUAGUGGACUCUAGCAAGAGGGGUCUAGUGUAAUGACAAUUAAUGUUUUUCUUUGGACAUCACCAAAAUGGAUAUUUUUCUUUAUUCGUGAUAUAAUUCUCUAAGAUAUGUGAUAUUAUCUCAUAAUUGUUUUAAAUUUUAAUAUGAUUUUUAGGUAGCAUUGGUAGUUUUUCUUGCUCAUAUUGGAAGUUUUGUACCAGCAGACGCUGCAACUAUUGGAUUAACAGACAGGUUCGAAAUAAUUUAAAAUCAUUAUUCUUAAGUUUUCUGGGCAUAUAUCUAGGUAAAUUCACUGUAGUGUUUCUUUAUCUGGCGUCUGUAAAGAAUUUUUUGUGCUAUGGGAAGCAAGUUCAUGACUUCUGAACAGUCAACUUUUAUGAUUGACCUUCAUCAAGUUGGGAUGAUGCUUAGGUGUGUUUUUGUGCUUUUAUGUUAUUUUGUGUUUUUGUACUUCCAUUAAAAACGAGUCUCUCUUUGUUUAAUAUUUAUUGGUUGAGAUUUUUUACAGGCUAGCAACGUCACAGUCUUUAUGUUUGCUUGAUGAAUUUGGCAAGGGUACUUUAUUAGAAGGUCACAUCUGAUAUACACUAGUUUUUUAAAUUGUUUCCUAAUAACUUGUUAUUUUCCAAAUUAACUCAUUUUUUUCCAGAUGGUAUUGGUCUUCUUGGAGGAACUAUAAAUCAUUUUUCUAGGUGUGAACAUCCCCCAAAGGUCAGCAGUGAUAUAUACUUUAGCUAGCUUUCAAAUUUUGAGUCUUGGAAUAUAGGUAACUUGCAUAUUGAGAUUUGGGACACGUCAUGAUUAGAUUUACAUACAUAUAUAAAUACUUGUUGGAAUAUGAUAGGAUCCACCUGACUAGAUACCGAUUAAAUUGGUAAUUUUAAAUAACCAAAUUUGCAGAAAUCAAGAUUUUGUGAUUUCUUUCUGUUUUCUCCCAAUUUCUUUUAAGCAAACCUUUCUUCCAACCAAUUUUUCGAUGAGCAUCCUCUCAUCUUCGGUGACCAUAAUAUUCUCUAUUCUGUUUAAAUUUAUUUAUCUUCUAAGGUUUUUAUUUAUUUUAAGACUGUAAUAUGGUUAUUUAAUUACAUAUAUAUUCUAAAAUUUCAUAGUUAUAUAUUUAGAAAUACAUAGGAUUAUAGUGGAAAAUUUUAAAAAAUCAUAUUAUAUUCAGACGACAUCUAGGCGACCCAUGCGACAAGCUCCAUAGCAUGAUUGUAUAACCACCUGAAUAAGCUUGUUUUUUCCAAAGGAAACCCUUUCAAAACCUCCAUGUGAAGCCUACCUAAUAUAUCACCAGGUAAUUUCAAAGUGGAUGGGUACUUGGUGAUAUAUUAUGUGGAAAGGUCCGGGUGGGUGCAUCCAUCUAUAUGAAGCAUAUGCGGGAUGGGUAAAUUGCAUAAUAUAUAUAUGAAUUACACGAUUAAAUAUAUAUAUCGAUGAUACAUGAUCGUGCGCGUGAUACCAUAUCAUAAAAGUACUACAAGUGAAAGACCUCAGCAUGUGGCUCCUCCAUUAGGGCCGACUAUUAUCCUUGUAGAGGUCGGCGACCCCUACUAAAGGGUCAUCGACUUAUCCUAAAAUAGUCGCCCCCGACCUCAUAUUUAUUGGCAUGACUCCGAAGGUUCUAUAAAUAGAUCCAGGGGUCCGUCGAGGAAAUGGUCUACUUUCUGCCCCACCAGAAUCCUAGGAACAGAGUGUGCUUUCGAAAGCCAGAAGAAGCUGAUUGGCGACCCCCAAAAUUCCUUUUCAACAAUCGCCGACCCCGAUAGAUUCCCUUAAAUACACGUGAGUAAUUAGUGGUUCCCAACAUCAUUACAUAUGAUAUGACCAUUAAUAAAUAAGUAAACUUCAAAAUAAACUUAAAAUAGAGUUUAAUAAACUAAUAGAAUUCAAAUUUCAAACAGAAUUGUAAUUAGAAAGUUCAACCAUUAUCAUCAUCAAGAGCUUGGUGGGUGGAAGAAGGAAGAAAAAUCCGAGUCAUUGGAGAAAAGUUAGGUUUUAGAUAUUUUAGAUUUUAUAGUUUUUUCAGUUUUUUUUAAAUACAAUAAAUAAACCCAUGGACAGUCACAAAUCCGUAAACUGCCCAUGACCUAUGGCCUAAGGGUCACUGCAUGACACCCUUGAUGCACAUUUGCGGAUGCAUAAAAAAUUAUAUUAUGUGACUCUGUUAUAUCAUCUGGAGGUAAACAUUUUUACAUCUUGUAAAAAUGUAUUUUCUGUUACGAAAAAAGAAAACUAUAUCCAUCAAUAAUGGAACUAAUGAUCUCAAGCAAAUUUUUAUUGUUAGAAGAGAAGAUCAUUUGGGCUAUCUCUUUCUCUUAUGAAUAUAUAUUGUAUUUUAUAUGAUUUAUUUUUCUUUUAAUAAGAGAAUUCCUAAUUUAUUUUAUUUGGAAUUAGGGCCUUAAUUUGUUCAAUGUAUUUACUGGACGCUAAACUAUACGCUAAAAUAUAUUUUUUGAAGGUUUUGGUAUGUACACACUUGACUGAGAUAUUUAAUGAGAAUUAUUUAUCCAAGGUCAGUAAUGGAGGAAGAUUUUUGGUUAUUCUGUUGAAAAGUGAUGUAUCGUUGUAUAAGGAGAUCUAACGUGUUUAUAUUUUUAUUUUAGUCCGACAAUAUUGAUUUUUAUACUAUGAGUGUCUUGAAAUCUGCCAAAGAAUGCAAUGAGCCAGAGGAAAUCAUUUUUCUUUAUAGGUUGGUAUUCAUCUAUAAAAUUUUAAGUGUGUCAUUUAUAAUGGUAUAUCCAUUCGUUCAUCAGUACGUCAUAUUUGAUUUGCAUUACCUUGUAGGCUUAUACCUGGGAAUACACUUUUAAGCUAUGGUAUGUAUUCUUAUUUUUAAUUGAUUGAGUAGAAUUGCCAUUUGUUGCUAAUUUGAAUUUAUAUGCCACAGGCCUGCAUUGUGCUUUACUUGCAGGUAAUUAAGUUGGGACUUGGGACGCUUAGUUUAAUUUGGUUACUAAAAAAUUUAUUAUAAUUAUGGGUUGAUUACUUGAUUGUAUAUUUAUUUGUCAUUUAUUAAUUAUUAUUAGUCUCAUAAUAGUAUUUAUUUUUUGCCAAUUAAAAUACACAAUGAGAUUAGAAUUUAGAAACUAGAAAAUCUAAGUGGCGUGCCUUUUUAUCUUGCCCUCUAAUAGAAAAAUUCUACAUUGGUAGGGAUACCUGACGACAUGGUCGAAAGAGCAUCCUGCAUAUUGGAGGCUGUUUGCUCGCAUACUCCCAUUGAGCGAUUACAAAACCAGUGUAUUUUGGACAAAGAUGAGCAAUAUAAGGUAUACUACCAAAUACUAAUACACUGUUAGAUUACUAGGCAUGUACAGUAUAUGAUUUCUUGUUUCAAUUUUAACAAAGAUAACAAAAUAACGUUUUAAGAAUUUCUGUUAAUAAAGGGCACAAACUGGACAUUUAUUUUUCAUGUUUGUUAUAUGCAGGAUACAGUGGAUAAGCUACUUGCUUUUGAUGUUGCUAAGGAUGAUCUUCAUAACUUCUUUGACGAUAUUUUCACUUCUCAAAAGAAGGGCAAUACCCAAAUUACAAUGUAAAGAAAUGAGUAUAAAACCCUAGAAGUAAAAAGAAAUGAAUAAGAAACCCAUUCAUAAUUGCCAUUUGAUUUUAGAAUAAACAUGGAACCUAAUGUAUAAUAGCACAUCAGUUCAAUUAUCAUGACUGACAAGAAAAUCACUUUUUGAAUUUUUGAUGAAUAUUCAUUAUAAAAUCAACAAAACCUAUUCAUCUCUUUGUAAUACUAAACCCUAAACCUGUGUAUACUUUAUACAAGAAUUAUACAUGCAGUAAUACAAAAAGGCCAUCCUAAAAAAAGUAAACAUAUGUUAACCAUACUUAAGGGUGUAAGAAACAAGGUUCAUAGAAGGACUGCUACUUCUUAGAAGGUGAGAAGUAAUCAGCAAUGCUAUAUUUUUUAGCCAUCUUUGCUUGUUUGUAUGGACGAAGCCAUUCUUUUAAUUCAUUUUGAAUUUCUAGAGGAAGCUCGUCAAUUACAGUGAGAUCAAUGUUAUCAGCAUUGUACUUCCAAGAUUCAGUCUUAUUUGCUGGUUGAUUAUUACUUGUUAUUUCAUUACAAUCUGGGUCUUCAAUCAGUUCCACACUGCAUUCAUUUUCUAAAAAUAUGCACCAUCACAGAGAUUAUUAUUCAGAAAAUCAUGUUGAAACAAACAGACACCAAAAAGACAAACCUGGUUGACAUGAAGAUGUAUAAUUUUCAACUACUUCAUUUACUGAAGGUUCAUUUAAUAUAGAGGAAGAAGCAUCAUUACUGUGGAAAUAUUUAAAGAUAGAACAUGCUUCCUGACAAAAUCAAUGAAUAGAGAUUUAAAAUCAUAAGCAAAAAUGCACGUUCGCUCAAAACUUAAGAGCAACAAGUUUGUAACCUAUAUAAAGUACCACCAUAAAAAAAAGUAAAUAAGUACAAAAAUAGGUUUAUGGUUGACUUGAGAAAAACUGUGAGCGCAAUUUUUUUUUAAUAAUGGCGUGCCUUAAUUCAUAUUUUGAUGUUGCUAAUAAGUAAUAAUGUAUAGACAUGAAAAAUAUGAUAAAAUGAAUCAAUCACUCAAAAGUCAAAAGCAUUAAAAAAUUAAGUAUUAAACUCAUAAUUCUAUGCAACAUGAAUAAAAGCCAGAAUUGAAUACCUUAUUUUUUUGUUUUAUCUUGUUUGAUUUUUUGUUACAUUUAGUUGGUGCUGAGAUGGAUCUACAAAUAACACUUUCUUCGUGUAUAGAGCUAUUUGUUUUCUUUUUGGGGGAAGUCUCGUACACAAUUUCCAAGUCCGUACCUUAACUAAUAAUCUGUUAGCAUGCAAAUCUCACAUAGAAAUAAUGAAAUAGCAGAAAGAAUUAGAAGCAACUGAAUAAUUGACUAGAAAAGUAGCAAACCAUAUAUGCUGAGUUCAUCAGAAUCUACGGAGGAUGAUUGCUGCUUAGAAUGAUUUUCAGAAAGGAAUCGUAGAAUUGAAGAUGUUCCCUGUCCAAAAGCAAUUACUAGAUAAUAAUGCAACUAUCUUGAAAAUGAUACUAGUACAUUAUAAUAGAACGGAUAUGAUUACCGUGUAUCAAAAUUCUGAAACUUAAACAAAUAUAUUUUAAUUAAGGAAACUACCUUAGGUGGGAACAAAUAGAAAUAAAGUCAAAAUUCUGAAAGCCUGCCUAAUGAGAUUUAAGGUAAGAACUUGGUUGUGAUGAUUUUGGUUGUGUUGGGGCCAUUUUUGCUCUGUGAUUAUGAAACUUACCGAUGGUAUUGCCAAAAAUUUACUUGCGGUGACCGAUAGUGACGUAACUCCCCACGCAGCACCUUGCGGACUUAUAAACUCCUUCAAUGAAAAAUCAAAUAAUUUAAAAGCGUCUUCUUUUAUUUUUGCAGCUCCGUAGCGUAAUGGGCAUGACUUCGAAGGAAACUUCUUUUGAAAGUCUCCAUUGUUAGACUGCAAAAUACAAAAGCAACAUAACUAAAUGUCUGGUGAAACCGUGAAAUGUGAAUAGAAACUAUAAAAGGAAGAAGGUGAGUAGUUAAAAAAGGAAAACGUGUUAAAUGUGAAAAACUAUAAAAAUAAUAUCCCAAUUCCCAAAGUCUUAGCCAACCUUAAAAGCUGUUGCAUGAAGAGUCAGUGUUUUUGCAACUCUCUUAUUUUUCUCUAAAUCAGCCUGAAUCCGCUCAUUCAGUUCCUCGCAUAGCUCAUUGAGCCAAUGUUCAACCUAGAUCAAGCAUUCAGAUAUCCAUGGUAUAAAUAAGAUUUCUAAGAAUAAAAACUAAGUUGACAGUCACGUAGAUAAUAAAUAUUGAACUAAAAACUAAGAUUUCUUCUUUUUCUCUUUCAAGACUUCAUAUGAAAAAUAUUCUUAUCGAAACAUUCACGAAUCACUAGGUAGAAAAAUAUACUAUAAUUUUGUAUUAAUGAAGACCACUAGAUACUCCACUCUACAGAAAAAAGAACCUAAAAAUCCAAGGAAACUCCUUUUGUAAGGGUAAACACAAUGGACAUAUGGAAAACCCCUUCUUGUCUACUAUAUUACUGUCACCUAAAUGCCUAAUAAUAUGUUACAGGGUAAAUCAAGGUGGGUUAUUAUAUAAUAUAUAGUGAAAAUUGAACUCACAACCUCAUGCAAACUUUAGCAUCAUGAAACCACUUAAGAAUUAAGAUAUACCAUCCGAUAGUAAUAAAUAUUUUACUCCAUGACAUAUAAAAGAAAGUUUACAGGUGGGUAGAAGUUAGAUUCAAGAAGUGAUAUUUUGAAUUUUUAUAGAGAUAAUCAGGCUAGAAAAAAAAUGAAACUAUGAAAGCAGAAAGAUAACUAAAUUUGCACCCAAAUACCCAAUAGAGAGAUGUCCCUUUGUUUAAUUAUCCACCUAACAAGAAACUAAGUGGGAAGACUCCAAACUGAUAGAAUAACGCUGUUUUUUUAAAUUAAACAUUUUUUUAGAGUAACUUGAUUACAAAUUCCUUGGUUACAAAUGUACAAAUCAGGCUUCAGAUAAACAAGCAUUUAAAAUAAAGAUCAAUCUUACAGUAGCAGCAGUUUUUAAUGCUUGUGAACCUGCAAAUGUCUUCCCACAUCCAUGACUUUUAGGAAGAAGACGACCUUGGACUUCUUCCGCAUUUAUGCCUCUUGCUAUAUUCCAUAGCCACGUUCUAGAAAGAAAAUUCAAAGAAAUCAGUGGCAAAGGAGUGUAAUUUAUCGAUGAUAGAGGUAGGCGAUUUUAAGUUUUAUUCUUCUUGGAAAGUGCUUUAGAUAAAUGAGUUUUUAAACUAGUUCUAACUUAAUUGAAUUUAUAUAAUAUUGCCAAACAAUUAGAAUUUGUUUUAAAUUCCUGUUGGAUCACAAAUUAGCAUCAUAAAAAAUGUAACAAUGCACGAUUUCAUAAAUGAACAUAGUAUGUUACAAAACCCGGUAUUAAUGUUGUAGCGAUCUUGUAAUUUCUCUUUGGAAUAUUGUAACAAGUCCCCAACAAAACUAAUGCCAAGUUCUCUUUCUAAAGAAACUCCCAAUUUCCCUCCAAGUUGCUUCCUACAAAAAAUUAAAAAUGUCGAACCUCGUGAUUUUUAAACUAUUUGAGUGGUACAUACAAAAAUGAAAUUAACAGGACACGAGUUUUUUUUUGAAGAAUUACAUUUUCUUUAUGGGAAAAGAAGCUAGUAAUUCUUUUAUUGAUGAAGAUGGUACAAUAGUUUGUUGUGCAGGUUUAUGCAUUGCACUUGCAAGUUUUGCCAGCAUCUGCAACAAAUAUUUAGGAUUUAAAAAAAAUCCAAAAUGACAAUAAAUGAAAAAGAAAUCUUGAUCAAUGAACAUUAACUACUGAAUGCAUCAACUAAACCAACAUCAAUAAAUAAUAAGGUAUUAAAAGUUUAUUUGACACUUGAAAUCACAGAAUGAAAAGAAAAAGUGCAAGAGUUACAGAAAAACUCAAAAACCUUAUUGUGGGCUAUGCCAGCAGAACAUGUAAAGGUUGUCUCCUUCAAUACAUUCAUCCGAAGACGUGCAACAAUAAUUGCUCCACAAGCUAACAACUUAUCUUGAUGGUCUGCGUCUGUUUUACAAAUCCAAUCCUUAACAAUCUUAUCCAUUUCAUCGGCAUUCUAGAAAGAUUGUAAAGCAAAAUUAAUUGGACUAUACGUGAGUUCCAAAGAGAGAAUUUUUUUUUGAAGCAAAAGAGAGAAAAAUCGUUAACAACCAAAAGAUAAAAUGGGUGUCAACGAACUAGAAGGUCCUACAGAAAAGAAAAUACAGGAGUCUCAAUUCAUUUUAAAAACAAGAAUCCCACGGAGUAUUCAUUCUUAAAAUAGGAAACUCACUUUGGGAAGUCCCAAAAUGUGAGACUUAAUGACCUGCUCAUCAAUUUCCUGUAUUCCCACUGAAGACAUUUCUGACAGCAUGCGCUCUGCGGCAUCGGUAAGAUCAAGGUAAACCUCAUCAAUGGAUGCACGCUCACACCUCCCUUCUGCUGCGAGUAUGGAAACUACCUAUAAUAGUGAUAUGUGAAAUCAUGAAAUGUAACCAAUUAACCACAGUCAAUUUUUAGGUGUCUACAUCCACUUCAAUUCUGGUGUACCUCUGAACCAGCAUCUCGAUACAAAUUUAAAUUAGCUUUGCCCCUUGCAGUUGGCACUUGUAUUAGAUGGAUAUCUGGACACACCUUUUUGGCUUCAUCUCCUCGCAUGGAACUAAGAGUUUGUCAUUUACUACAUAAAAACAAAUGAUCGAAAAGGUUUUAGGGUUUUAAGAUUUUGGGGUUACACCGUUUCACUCCAAAUGUGCGUGCUUCAUAGCCAACAGCAAUCAGACCUCCCCCUUUCCAAGAAUUGUAUUGCACAACAGCAGUUGGCAAACCCCUCAAUUUUGGAUUCUUUCUUUGCUCCACUGAAAAAUAAGUAAGAGGGGGAUGAAGAUGAUAAAAAAAGGCAUUGUGUAUAUAUUCAUUGAAGAGGAAAUGACGAUGAAGAUGAUACCCUGUACGUAGAAACAGUCCAUGUCUAUAUGAGCUAUGACUCGCUUUUCACGAUGCGACUCCGGUCUUCCUAUCGGAAUCAUUUCUUGCUGGAUAGUUCAACUCUGCCUUCCACUUCCGGUCCAGUUUCCACAACGAAAACGAGAACCGAGUAGCAAGAACCAGAAAAAACAGCAGUUUUUCGAAGAAGAAGAAGACGAGGAAGAAAUGAAUAAAUACUAAAAAUAUUUAACACAUAUAACCCCGGAAAAUUCUAAUUAGCAUAAAUUUCCAUAAGAUCCAGUUAACUGCAAUAUAAGAUAACAUAUAGUUAAUUCGAGAACUAAUAAAAUUACAGUACAUAAAAAUCUGAAUUUCUAAAGAAUACACGAAGAUUAAGAAUGUAAGACAAAUAAAUAGACCGACAGCGGAACAAGUCCUACUAUUAUCUAAAAAUGAUAGGAGAAAUGAGGAACUAAUGUUAUAAAUCAAAAUUCAUUUUGCUUUUGAGAACAGCCUUCUUCCUUGUAUCAUAAUCGAUUUUGUCAAGAUCGGAUGCAAUUGCUAGAUAUCCAAAAAAUAUGAACUUCUUCUCUCCUGUUGACUCGUCCACCUUAAAAAAAUUUGGAUUCUGAUCGGCGUCCACACCGAUAUGUGCAUCAACCCAAUCAUUUCGUCCAUGCCCUUGUCUUUUGAAAAACUCUGCCAAUUUCUCAGCUUCCUUUAAUCCAGUUUCAGUAUUUGCAAAUUUCACAAUAGACAUACCCAUAUGUCCUUCCUUACCAUACAUCGCUUUCGACUUGCCACUUUUGAAUCCAAAUUCUGCAAUCAAUUUUAAAAAAUCAGAAUAUAUGCAAAACCAGAAUCUUCCAACAUAUUUAUUGUACUCGGUACACUCCUAUAUGUUCACUUCAUGCAGACUGUAGAGUCACUGAUUAAGGUUUACAAUUACUUAAGUCUUAAAUAAAUUCUCAAAAUAGCUAGAGUAGGUUUAAAUUAUACCUUUAAGUUUAUUUUCCAUGUCCCUGUUUCCUAUACCCUCUAAACGACCAUCUUUCUUUCUUCCCGUUAUGGUGUUAUGAAUUAUAACACUGGGAGGCCAUAAAAUCAAAUCUUCUUUAUUUUCAGCAGCAGUUUCAGCAGAAAAUGAUUGGUAAGCUUUAGAAUCAUCAGGUGAUUGUGAAUAGUUCCAUUCCAUUAGAACACACAAAGCUUUAUGUAAUCCGAGAUGAUCAACAAGUAAAUCAGCAUUUUUUGAGCCAUAUGUAUGCAUAAUGAGCUCAUGCAUGUCGUUAUAUUCCCUGGAAGAUCUGCAAUUGUGCAUACAUAGUUACAAACAUUGAAAAUAAUCAUAGUCAAACAAAUUAACAAAUACAAAAAACCUUAUAGAAUUAAUCAAGCAUAAAAUCAUUUGCAUAUGACAAAAGUAUGAAAAUAUAAUAAUCCAUAUGAUGAUUGAUAAUAAGCAAAAUGAAAACAUAACACUAUUUAGCUGUAAAAUAUAUGCAUUCCAUCUACCAGGAGCAUGCCUAACAAGUGACAAUAAAACCAUCUCGAAAGAAUGUCAAAGUUAAGACUCUGAAAUGCAAUAUGUCAAAAAAACACUGGUUUGUCUACACAAACAAAAGUUACAAAAUCAUGUGGCAAGUAAACUAAAUAAAUAACACAGAAAAUACUCAAAAUAGUAUAUGUUAAUAUAAUCUAAAGAAAAAUACAUUAACAUAACAAUAUUUCAUGUUAAAAUGAAUGAAGAACACAAUUAAAAGGAAAAAAACAUGCAGGAUAUAAAAAAAUCAAUUUUCCUACCACAGAACAUCAUCAUACAAAAUGAAGCAAAUUCUAUUCCUAUUUUAAAUUCAAAUCAAUUGCUACUACAUAAACACUAAUUUUUUCCAAACCUAAAAUUCCCAUCGAGUGAAUAAAACACACUUCCAACUCAAAUGAAUAAAUGAAUGUUCAUGAACUAAAGCAGACGAAAAGUGGCGGAAUAAAAAAGUAAAUUGUACCACCCAUGUAACUCUUAAAUCCUCAUAAUCAAGACUUUUCAUUGUAUAGCAAUGUAUGGCAUAAUCAUUAAUCAACUAGAUUUUUGGUGACUAAAAUAAGCAUGAUUAGUGUGGUCACUUUAGUUUUAGUUAAAUGUAGUUGCAUACUCACUCUACGUAGAAUUGCAAAUUUGCAAUACAAACAUAAUGCACUAAUAAAAAGUUAAAAGAAAUAGAGAAAAAUGAUCAUGGAGAUGGUUAAAAGUUAAAACCUGCCACAAGCAAGACAUGUAAUUCGAGCAUGUCUCCCAUCAUCCAAAUACAAUCUCUUCUGUUUGGAGCACUCAUUAAUUAAUUUUGAAAAUCGAAGGAAUGCUCUUUUCAGUGCUUGAGGAUCCACGCUGGAGGUAGGAGGCAGAGCAUUAUCAGAGACGUCAUGGGAGGGCUGGACAUCAUGACCAGGGGACCCUCCCAAUUUUGAAUGUUUAGAAAAGUGUCUAUCGAUACUAGAGUUAGCAUCUCCAUUACUUCCAUAAUGCAAUAUGUGCUGCUGAUUACGAUGGUGAAUAUAAUCAUCAUCCUUGUCUGGGUAUUUCCUUUUUACAGGUUGCGGCAUCGGACCAUCAAGACCCAAAGAAGCCCAGUAAUCUUGUUGAUGACCACCGGCACCCGGUGCAAACGGUUGCCGAGGUUGUUCAUGACUAAACUCCGGACUGAGUCUAUCACCACGACCAACACCACCACCAAUGUGAGAAUUCCUUAGAGGAAGACCAUGGGGAAAUCGCCUAUCAUCGUAUCCCAGAGGACCACCAACAGAGCGAUUGAGAUCAGGUCUGGGUAUACCAGAGGCAGCUGCAGCGUAGGGAUCAAGAUCGGGCCUUGGGAUGGGAGUGGCAGCAGGACCGUAAGGAUCGAGAUCGGCCGGAAGGGAAAAGUAGGAACGGACACUACCGUCGGCCAGUACGAUAGUGCGUCUCUCAAGCAUGUGGAAACCAUAAUCGGGAGGCGGAGGGGGGAUGCCAUGGGAGGCGGAUGAAGAUGCAACUAAAGUACUUUGACGGAUAACGUGAGGAGGACGGAUGAUGGGUUGAGGAGGAACCAAUAUAGGGUUGGGAGAGGUUAGAUUGAUUGAAGAAGGAGGGCAAUCAGACACAGGAUUGGCUGGUUUAUCUCUUAUGUUGAUGGAGUUGUGUCGCAGUUGUGGCUGUUUAUGUUGAUCAGAGGGAAGAUUAUCACGAAUAGAGGGAGAUGAUGGAGAUGCGUAAUUAUACAGUUUGGGAGAAGAAGACUCGGGACCGCCAUUCUCGCCAGUAAGCUUGUGUUUCUUCAUCUCAGAUAAUAUAAUAGGAGUUGGUGUUAGGGUUUGGAAUUCUUCAGAAAGGAGUCGACGGAGGAUAGCAGUAGUAGUAGAAGGAAGAAGAAGAAAUCUUUCUUUAUAAUUACAAAUAGGUCCUUACAUUCUUCUAACUUUAGUUGCACUUGGAUAAUUGGGUAUGGACCGUAUGGCCCUCAUAAAGAGAAGAAAGAAGUUACAUGACCCAUGGGCUGAUGAGCGAACCAUCAAGAUUCACAAGUUAGGACUUAGGAGGAAUAAAACUCGAACUUUUAUAACAAUUAAAAAUACAAAUUUCCAUCGCUUCAAUUCUUCAAAGUUCAAAUGAAUAUAAAUUUUUUUUUUGGGUUAAGGUUACUUUGAUUUAAUAAGUAAGAGUUUAAGCAUAUUGUUUUAAUUAAGAUUAACACUACUUACCUAUUCUACUCGCUUAGACAAUUCUAACCACCAUCAUCCUUAUCAUGGAUGAGCAAUAGCAGAGCUUCUCAUUGUAGUAGAGCUCUUUGUUCCUUACCUUUCUUACUGAUCUGUUUCUUGAAUCGACCCUCCUCAAAGCCUAUUUCGGCCACUUCUAUACUCCUCCGUAGCAAGGAUUGUGCCGAGUCGCCUUUCAUCAUUACUCUGCGCUGGUUGCGCUGUUUCCAGAUGUGGAACAGCACGACCGCGAACAUCGUCCAUUGCAGUCCCUAGGCCGGCGAGGCCACCGUGACAUUGUUCAGCUCCCUUGCCGCCUCCUCGAAUGAAUUGAUUAUGCCCGUAUUGACCAGCGCUCCCGUGGCCUCCAUGGCUUCUCGGAGUACCCACUUAGAGUAGCCGCAUUUGAAGAAUAGGUGUUCCAGCGUUUCCGGCUCACGGUCACAGAAGUUACAUUCUCUCGUAAUAGCCAUCCCACGCCGAAUCAAUCUGUCCUUGGUCGGGAGGUUUCCCCACCUUACUCUCCACAUGUUCAGAGCUACCUUGCCUAUUUUUACUGCCCAAAUGCCUCUCGCCAAUUCAUCCUUUGGUAGUUCUUGCCUGAGUGUGCUUGUCACAUUCUUGAUUGAGUUACUCACUCCCUUCCCUAUCCAACUCUUCGAAUUGUGUGGUCCCAGCUUCGCACAUUUAUUGAUCUGCUCCCGUUGCCGGAGCAUCGCCCUCCAGCUCGAAGAGUCACCCUGCCGGGACUCAAUCAGAUCGAUGGGUCGAUUUUUAACGUACCUCUUACACAUCCACGAGCUCCAGAUGCCUUCUCCCGCCCACAUUCGGCAAGCCUUGUCCACUAUCGCCGCGACUUGCGUUGCUUUGUAGUCCCGGACUCCCAAGCCUCCUUGUUUCUUCGGCUUGAUCAUAGCUUUCCAGGAUACUUCCUUCUGAACUCCCCAGAUAAACCUGUACGUUAUUGAUUGAAUCGCAUCCAGGGCAGCUUGUGGUACGAUGUUGAUUUGGACCAGGUACCCGAACUUCCCCUGGAACACCCAAUCAACAAGCUGCACUCUACCCAUGUAUGAGAGUUUCCGCCCACUCCACCUUGUAAGCAGGCUCCUUAGUUCUGCCAGAAGCUUGUCGCAAUCCUUAUACCUUACUGAGUUACUGACUUCCCGGUCAAUGACGUACCUGUCUGGAAUCCCAAUAUCCCCGCUAGUUUAUUGUUAUUAGUAACUCUCAUGAAGAAGAUGGCCACGCUCUUAUUCCUAUUGAUUGUUAGUCCUGAGAAGUCGGCAAAUUCGUCAAGGACCUCUCUUAAGGCAGUAAUUGUCUUCCUCGACGAUCGGCAGAAGAAUAUUACGUCGUCCGCGAACGCAAGAUGGCUCUCAACGACAGCUCCGCCGGAGGUGUAUAAUUCUAUUCUCCCGCUGCGCGCUGCUUCUGUCACCAACCUUGACAAGUAUUCCACUACAAUCACGAAUAGAAGAGGGGAGAGGGGGUCGCCCUAUCGGAGCCCUUUCUUAGGCUUGAUGAUUUUGGUCGGCGAGCCCUCGGCCAAUGCGGAUACCGAUGUCGUUGUUACACACGACAUUACGAGCUGCCGGAAAGUGUCGUUAAUUCCCAUGAAUUCCAUGACCACCUCAAUUGCAUCCCAACGGAGGGAGGGUGUCAAAGGCCUUGGAAAAAUCAAUCGCUACACAGGCACGUCUCGACGUGCUUUAAUUUGCAAUUGUAAGACAGUGUAAACUCCUGCGCCAACCUUAUAGCGUCAGUUAUCCUUUUUCCUUUGAUGAACGCAGUUUGGUUUGGGCUAAUAAUUCCUGGAAGAAUACUCAUCAGGUGAGUUGCUAGGAUUUUUGAAAAUAUUUUGUAAACGACUCCCAGGCACGAGAUGGGCCGGUAGUCGUCCAGUUUCUUCGGCGUCAAUUUUUUGGGAAUCAACGUUAGCACUGCUAAGUUCAGGCUCCUAAUUAGCAUUUGUUUAGUUCUGAAAAAGUGGAAAACUGCCUGCAAAAUAUCCUUCUUAAUGUGACUCCAGUGAUAGGCUAUGAUCUCUGAUGUUAUGCCAUCCAUUCUCGGGGUUUUGCUGUUAGGCAUGCUCUUUAGUGUCCUCCAGAUUUCCUCUUCGCUCGGGAAGGCUCGUAGCUUAGCAUUUUCCUCGACUGACGGCCUAUUCUCGGCAUUCAGGUUCAAGUUCGGUAUUGGCGGCGUUCUGUUUUCAGCCACGUAGAGGGUAGUGAAAUAAUCCACUGCCAUGUUCUUCAUUUCUUCCAUCGAGUUUGUCUGUCUUUCCUCCUCGUCAAUUGUUCCCAUUACCGAAUUCCUUGCUUGCCUUGCCUUUAUUGCUCGCGCGAAGAAUUUGGAGCCUUGAUCACCCUGCGUCAGCCAAUUGACGUGAGCCCUAUGUUGCAGGUCAAGCUGCUCUCUGUGCGUCGUUUCCAUUAGCUUGAUUUUAAGAUCCCUGCAGAUGAUUUGGGUGGCGGGCAAGCUUUUUCAGACGACCAGGCGAUGCCUGGGGUCGCAUAUUGCAUAUGCGAGCGCCUGGUCGCAUAUGCUACCCAAUAAUAUGCGACAUUUUUUAUUUUUUACUUACAAAAAAGUGAAAAAAACCUUAAAGUAGAUGGUAAAAACCUCCGGCGAGCUUGAAGGAGAGGUCCAGCAGGAUGAACGGAGAGGUCCAGCGAGGUCACAGGAGCUCCGGCGAGGUGAGAAGAGAGGAGGAAGAAAUGGAUUUCCGUUUUUUUGGCAACGAGGAGGGUGGCAACGGUUAGAUUUUCAGAUUUAGGUUUUUUUUACUUAUAUAUAGGAUUUGUUAUUUUUUAUUUAAUUGGGUGUUUUUUUUAAGGUCCUUAAGUUGUUACAAAAUAAUAUUAUCCAUUACAAUUUUUUAAUUUUUUACUUGGGUAAAUGGGUCGGGUUAAGCCCUAUAAAUAUGCGACCCCCCAAAUAUGCGACAAAUCAAAAACCUUGGUGGCGGGAUUCAUUGGGUCACUCUGCAGCUUUGUUGCUUCAAUCUGUAAUUUUGCCGCAAUCUUACUCGAAGUAUCAGACUCUGACCUUUUCCUACGAGCCCACUCCUUACCGGUGGAUCUCGCCAAAUUAAUUUUCUGUUGAAGGACGUACAUCGAGGAUGUCCCAUGCCUUCUUGAAUAAUCUAUUGAAUUCUUCCUCCUUUAGCCAACUGUUAAAAAAUUUAAAAGGAGUCGAGCCUUUUUCCUUUUGCGUGAGUUUCAUUAACAGGCUGGCAUGGUCGCUCAUCGUCCCGAGUAAUAGUCGUGGCCGCGCGCGUGGCCACCUUGUUAUCCAUUGGGGAUUCCCAAGAGCUCUAUCUAAUCUGGACUUUGUGUGUUGUGGCCCUGUUCCAUUCGACCAGGUAAAUUCAUCCCUAAUUGCUUGGAGUUCAGUGAACCCAUCAAUUGCGUUUUCGAACUCAGUGGCUCCAGCCCUGUCCUGUCAAAGCCCCCGCUUCCAACUCUCUCGGACGGGUGACGGAUUUCAUUGAAAUUCCCGAUGAUCAGCCAAUCUUUGCCGUUUGACACUGACCGGAACGAGUUGAGCUCAUUCCAUAGUUCCCUUCGUUUGACAACCGUCCGCUUGCCAUAUACGAUGGUUAAAUCGAAGGUAUAUCCUCCCGUGUUCGUGAGUCUUGCGUGCAUUAAUUGUUUGUGGGCCACUAAUAUCAUUGCCUCCCACUGACUCUUCCUUCAUCCCAACCAAAUUGAGUCGCGUUCUUCUCUGUCAUCGUUCCUUGUUAUUGUCCAUUCUGGCCCCAUUUUGUCUAUUGCUUCAAUGAAUCUUUCUUUCUUCGUUUUGGUUUCGACCACACCAAAUAUUUCAAUUGAAUUUUCCGCGCAAAUUCUCCUGAAUUCACUCUGCCUUUCAUCGGAGCACAUUCCCCUCGCAUUCCACAUUAUAAGAGACAUCACCGGGGAGUGAUGCUCCUAGUGCCGCUGAAAUUUAUUGACUUUUGGUGCCGGAGGUGCGACCUCCCCGACGUCCUCCCAUCAGGGCUUGGAAUCUAUUUUGAAGUUGAAUCGGAACAUAUGCGAUUCGUUCCUCCGUUGAUCUGAUACAUGAUUGGAUUUCUAUUUCCUCUGUCGAAUGGCAUUCCUUUCUCCAGCGGAUCCUCCUCUGGGAGGCAUUCAGAUAUGAAAUUGAGGAUGAUGAUCUUCUCGGGAGGCUAUCCAGGACGGUGAGGUUGUAUAAGAUAUGUGCCCACCUCGCAUGGUCCUCAACUGAGAGGUUGUGUCCUUCUAUUAUCAGGGGAACCCUCUGCUCUGUCGGGUUUACUCGCUGGCAGUUCAGGCCGCUGGGUUGACUUGAAUCUACCGGGUUUUCCAUUAUCAGGGGGGCUUUUCCACGCCGAUGGGUUGAUUUGAUUUAGCCGGGGUCUCCGGGUUUGUUAUUAGGUCAGCAUCCGCCUCCGCAUCCGAUCCCGCGUUUUCCCCUAUUCUAAUGCCAUCCUCCCCCUGCAAAGACAUGUCCACUGGUACGUUUGGGGUGGCACUGCCAUUACUUAUAUCAAAUAAAUUCUUAAGUUCCUCUUUAUUUCUUUAACGCAAAAAAAUACAAUUGAAGCUUGAGUACAAAAAAUAUUUUAGAAGAGUUACAAAACAACAUUGUAGAAGAUAAUUUAUUGCCUAAUUUCUAAUUCAGCAACUAAACUAUAAAAAACAAGAACAAUUCCUUGAAAAAAAUUUAAAAAUAAAUUCUAAGGUUUUGGGUUUCAAUACCCAUAAAUCCAUGUAUGUCAAUUGACUAAUAAGUAAUAAUAAUAAGCAAUAACCUAUAUAUAUUUCACUUGUAAAGCUCAACUUCUUACAAUUCAUGGAGAGGAGUGGAGUACCUGAGGGCAAAAAACAUAUAUUGCAACAAAGAGAUGAGAAACAAUCAUGACACCAAAUCUAUAUAUAGCACCAAUUUCUCAUCACACUAAAAAAAAUAGUCAUUUGUUACUAGAGCCAAUUUGUUCCCGAUUUACUUGACUUGGGUGAGAAUCUGCUAGUGAAAGAGCAAUGGCUAACAUCAUUUGCUCUUCAAAAGAUUGUCGUGAGAAGUAUUCUGAUGGUAUGAUUGAGGCACCUACAUGUGAAGGUGAUGCUUCUGUUGGUAUUGAACCAACAUGUAAAGGUGAUGCUUCUGUUGGUAUUGAACCAGGUACGACACCAGAACUACUAUAACUUGCCCCUGCCUCCGUCAUCCCUGAACCGUCGUCAUCCACAUGCUGUUUACGGUCUAUUGCCCUCAAUGCUUCAAUCCAGUUCAUUUGAGUAAUAUCUCCCACAGAAUUCUCAUUGGCAGUGGGGAAACAAAAUAAAUGUGGAGAUGUAGUCAAAGAAAAUGAUGAGCUAACAUCAUCAGAAUUAAGUGGACCAUGGCUAACUAGUUGAUUCACACCCACUGUUGUCGGAUCACCAUAGGCAAGUCCACCCGUAGAAGGCAUUUCACCCUGAGUCAUCAUAUGUACAGUUGAAUCUUCUGAAGGGGAUGGUGCUGAUGAAGCACUUCCUUUUGUAACUGAAUCUCUAUGAGAAUUAUUAUGCUCCUUUUCCACAGAUAAUGAAAAAGAAAUAGAAUCAAACAAUUAGAUAAAAGAAGAUUCAACAAGUCUGCUAUAAAAUUUGAAUUUUACGUGCAAUUCUAGCCUGUUUGUGAGGUUUCAUAACAGCAAAGUCAAAUUAAAAAAAAAAAAAAAAACAGGGAAUCAUAGUAAUAGCACUGAAAGUUUCUCACUCAUUAUCAGAAAGUAAGGUCUGGAUAUCUGGUCAUGUCAGUCAAAAGUACGGAUCAAGUUAGUAGAAAAUUGAGAGAGGAUUCAAAUUCAAAUGAAGCAUGGAUCAAGUGACUGACAUACACCACAAAUUACAGAGCACUGUCGAUCUAAGCAUAGUCUAAACAGUUAAGUUGAAAUUUGGUUGAAUUUCAAGCCUACCAUGCUUUCAUUAAUUUAUUUAAAUAUUUGUAUCGCCUUAUAGUAUUAGGAUUAGAAGGCCAUUAGAUCCAAAAAUCUAAAAUGUUGUUGGUUGUCAAAAGAUAUGAUUUUGGUUCUCUACGAGUCUGGGUAAAUAAGGAAAGCAGUUAUGCCCUGAUCAACUUGUUCUAUUUUAUUAGCAAUAAAUAGGGAAGUGACCAUGGAAACAAACUGAGAUUUGCCUAACAAGUUGGGUCCAGGCUUGAGCUCUUUAGUUUAGUCAUUUUAGCGAGCUCAGACUCAGUUCAAUCAAGGAAAAUGGCAAAUUUAGUCACUUAGGCUUUAUAAGCAAUUUUAAUAUGGUUUCUCACUCCUACUAUGUGGGAUUAUUCAUUAAAACAUUCAGUUUUUUCCAGUGGCUGAAGUGGGACCAGCAUGGCAUUAUGUAUGCAUAUCAUUUUUUCCAUCUUCAAAAAAAACUUCAGCUUCCAAGAAACUAAAAUCUGGCAUCUUCAUAAAAUUACAAUAAUCAAUGUUACAAGAAAUUAGCUCCUAACUAUUCUCAACCUCAUGAUGUGGUGGGGAGAACCUUUUUGUGUGAUGACUGAUGAGUGAUGAUAUAAGAUAGGUUAAGAAUACAAAAGUAACAAUUAUUAAAUAUUUGAAUUUAACAAAAAAAAUUAGCUUCUUGCGUGAAAUUUACAGGCUUUUAACCUGUAUUGGAUAGAUGGAAAUCCUAACUAACCGAUUUUACCAAAGUUCCUUAAAAAAUGGAAAAAUAAAUAAAUAUGCAUAAUAUAUAUACAAAUCAAACUAUCUGCAUUGGAUAAGAAAAAGUACUUCAAUAGUUCAACCAGUGUUGGAAACUAAUUUAACCCAUUGAAGCCAUGCUUACAAAAUAAAGUGGAAGAGAAUACACCUAUUGAGGGGGAGAAUACAAUUGGUAAACUGGAUCCUAGCUGGGAAAUACACCUAUUGGACCCAAGGAACUGACCUACCCGAAUCUGUAAUAAGCAAAGUUGACCCCUUGGAGACCAACCUCCUGAGGCAGAUAAUCUGACUCAUAUCAGGCAGCAUGACUGAGUGGAAAGAGUCUAGAAGAGCCCAGUACUCUACUCAUGUUUUUAUUAUUUUGCUUUUCUUCAUUCUAAUUUUCAGGGUACUGUCCUCAUUUCUAUUAAUGAAAAAUUUAAUUGCAUAAAAAAAAACUACCUGCAUAGAGAGAGUUAUUGCUUCCAUAAUCAUUAUUUCCUCAAGAUCCGUAUCAAAUUCAUAAUUUCUGUAUUUCAAUGACAAAUGAAAGAAUGAAAAGAUGAAGGGAUGAAGAGAUCUUUAUGUGGAAUAUUUACUGAUAGAAAUAGAGGAAAAGAGAAUAUUAGACUAUUAGUUGUAAAUAAUAAAGACAAAGCUACCUACACUGAAGUAGAAUACUAACAUGAAACAAACAAACAACAAAAAGAAGCAUGCCUCUUUAUGAAAAAAAGAAACACAAGUAAAAUAACCAAAUAGAGGGAAAAAAAUGAACAAACAAAAAGAUGAGCCUUUUUUAUUUUGUUUGAAAAGUGGUGAAUAUUAAAAUACACCAUAUAGGCUUUUAUUCUAUUAGAAUUUUAUUUUUUACAAUAGAAGAUUGACUUCUAUUACAUAGGAGUCUACAAUAAAAAUGAAACUAAUAUAUACAUAACCUAAUCAAGUGAAUUACCAAUCUAAUAUAUAUUCUAAUACCACCUCAAGUUGAAAUAUGUUGGAGAUCAUACUCCAACUUGAUACAUGAAAUAAGAUGUUUUAGAACAGCAAAUAAAACAACCAUAUAGUUCACUUCUUCUCAUAUUGUACAAAACUACAAAAGUUUCCUAAAAAUCUAUAAAGGGGGGAAAAAAUCCUUGAAGCCUUGAGAAGACAAACUCAAAUCAUGAAAAUCCAGUAAGAAAGAUUCCUCUUGAGAGAAAGACUUGACAAGGAUGAAUCCACCAUAAUUUUCAGAAAAAAGAAUAAAUAAGGAAGAGUUCGACAACAACUUGGUAAGGAAGAAUCCGUCAUCGACUUGAUAAAGAGUCAUAUUGAGAAAAAGAUUCAUUAAGGAAGAGUAUGUCGUCGCUUGAGAAAGAGGCCUCUUGAGAAGAAAAAAUUGAAGAGAGUUUGCCAUCUUGAGAGAAAGAAUUGACAAGGAUGAAUCCAACAUAGUCUUGAGAAAAAGAGUUGAUAAGGAAGAAUUCGUCAUCGACUUAAUAAAGAGUAGUCAUAUUGAAAAAAAGAUUCAUUGAGGAAGAGUAUGUCAUCGCUUGAGAAAGAAUCUUGAGAGAAAAAAAUGGAUAAUACUUCAUCGUCUUGAGAAAAAACUCAAGGAAGAAAAAUAUCAAUAACAUCAUCAAAAUUAAAAACCAUGGAGACAAGAACAACAGCAGCAAUACAGGGAAUACAUAACUAUAGAAGCAACACGGAAUGGAAACAACAAUCCGACGAAUCAAAUGCAAAAUCAACAAUAGCAUCAACAAAAAAUUCAAAAAUAACAAAAGGUAUAAAUCGUAUAGCAUUAAAGGAAAGGAAAUAUUCUUAUCUCCAUCUCUUUAAAUGCUGAGUUUCUGACCCUUGAGCAUCCCAAACAAGAUGUAGAUGUGGCUUACAUUACUUAAUCACUAGUCAUAAGGUUGUAUAGGAAAGUAUCGAUGAGUCAAGGCUCAUCUCCCUAUAUUCUCUAUCUUCUCUAAUUAUGUAAUCCAGGACACUGCCUUUUAUUUGUUAUAAUGAGAAAUUAUAUUUUUAUUAAAAAAACAAAGAUUUAUUGGAGUUUAAAUCAAGGUUUUACAUGUCAAUAGACAUUCAUGCGAUGGAGACAUGGAGUCAUGGAGCUGGUCGCAUGAACGCCUAAGGCACCUAUGCAUCGCAUGAAGCAUAAUAGAAAUUUGCAAUAAAUACCCUGAAUUUUUCAAAUAUUACAAUAAUUACCUGUAUUUUCAAAAUAUUAAUAAAUUCUUGUAAUAGUAUCUUGUAUUUAAUUUUAUAAAUCUAUUAACUAGAAAAUAGCCUAAGCUUAUUGCAAGGUAGUAAAUGUCAAUUGUGAUUGUAGUGUAUAUAUACUUUACAUGUUCAAUUGAUUUAAGCAUGUCAUUUUGACAACAUCAUCCAUUUACCUAAUUCGGUUAUGUUUUGUUUGUUUGAACCUAUUUAAUUUUCAUGUAAGCCAUAUGCUGAUACAAAUUGCUAGUCUAAUCAAAUUCGGUUCUAAUUACAGGCUACCCAUCCAAAGAAAUGAAGAAUGAGCUAUUUUAGUUUUAAAUUUUUAACAAUCUAAUCCAUGUUCAGGUAAACAAAAAGAAAAACGUUUAAACGUUUAAACUGAUAAUAAUUUUUUGUUAGAAAACAGACCCCCAAAACAGAACUGAAUAAUCCAGAAAUAUAUAAUUAUAUAUAAUCAUUUGAUUUUCCAUCAAAAUAAGAAUUAAGAUCGGAAAAAUAAAUUAAAAAUAAUAAAGAUAAAUGACUUCUACAACGUGCAAACCUGUGGUUCAUUGGAGUUUCUAUAUCAGCUAGAGAAACUUGCUGAUCUAAUUGCUCAUCAGCAAUAACUGCAAAAUAACACCCCAAAAUUCGAAUUAACUAUGAAGAAUUGCAGGGGGGGAACAGGCAACUAUUUACAUACAAAACCAAAGAUAACAGAGGUGGGAAUGAAACCUGAACAAGAGUUAUUCGAAGGGUCUCGAUAUUCAAUUUCACCUGGGACAGUUAACAUAUUAGAAGGAUGCACUUCUUGCCUUUUUUGCAAGUUUUUUUCUUGUUCCUGGUAUUCUUUUUGUUGCAUUCUAAUCUUGGCUUCAAUAACUCUCUGUUCUUCCUGCACCGAAAUAAAAAAAGCAAAGAAAAGAAAAUUCCAGUUCUGAUAUGAGUGAAUAAACUAAAAAGUGAAAUUUAUCCAAUAAGGUAAAUAGUUGUGCAUAGCCAACAUACUAAUUGUUCCUUUCCCCUUUCCUCCUUUGAUUUCAUUCCUUUGUACUCCACAGCAUAAUUUGAAGUUUUGCAAAAGGGACACCUAGUAAUGUCAAGACAACAAACAAACCAAAAUUCUGCCCUUACUUCAAAGAAGAUAUUUAUCCAUUCUUGGAUUGAAAAGGCUCUAUUUAAUCUGGUUUGUACAAAAUUAUCCCCUAAUUGCUAGUUAUUCCAGGUAAAUUCUCCACCUAUAGGGGAGAUCUCGAACAACAAGGCUUGAUCAAUAGUCUCAUUGAAUUCGGAAGACCCUCCAUAAGACUAGUAGAUUCCAUGGUGACACAUAAAAUUAGGCCAUUUUUAUUAAAGAGUGAAUGAAGACAUAAAUAGUUAAACAGUUAAUGUUAUAGUAUUUCCUUAAAGAAAAGAUUAAAGGAUACUGUGUGGGACGAGAAGAAUGUGGUGGCUGCAUUUGGAGAAAGCACUCGGUACAAAUACCUUUCAUGCAACAUGUGGAGCGGUUGAGGCUUGGAUAAUGCUGAAAUAAAACAGAAACAAAACAAAUCAAUGUAAUAACUAUUGGAGGAGCAAUAUAUGGUCCAUCCCUUCUUCUCAUAGUUUAAUAAACAGAUUGUCUGUAGCCAGUUGGUGAACAACAGGCAUGUAUGUAUUUUAAGUAUUUUCUAACGAUUAAAUGAUAAUAAUAAAAAAAUGCAUAAUGAAUGAACGGGGAGAUUGUUGUUAGUUGGUUACCAGGAAGCAGAUUGGGCACUCCUCAAGAUCGUGAACGGCAGAGGAAUCGUCGUAACCAGAGUAACAAGGAGCGAGUUUGGAGCCUAGAAUCAACUUCCGAAGCUUCUUUUGAUUGACGUCGUUGUUCUGAUAAAGACCUUGUGGCUUCGUGUACUUGUCAUCCACCAUGUGCCUCUUCCUCCCGAGCUUGUUCCCCAUGUGCCACUCCCUACAAUUAUAUCCCGGCACUCAAGAUAAAAAAAGUAUUCUCAGACGCUUUCCGUUUUCUCAGAACCGACGACGUCCACCGCCACCGGAUCGGGUCGACUGUCGGAAUCGGAACGGUUUUCUCUUUCCACAAUAACGAAGAGUCGAGGAAGAAAGAGAGAGAGAGAGAAAAUACAACCUUCUCCGCACGCCACCAGCAGACCAGCACGUUCAUUAUUUAUAUUUUUUUCUUUCUAAUAUUUAAUACCAAUGGAAAAAGAACAAUUACGCCCACCUCUAAUUUAAACCUACCAUUAGAUAUUUAGAUUGUGGUCUGGAUGACUGGAUCUUUCUUAGGCCUAUUAUACUUUUUUAAAUAUUAAUUUUUCUAUUUUUUCUAAUUUAAUUUUGUCAGCAAAAAUAAAUAAAUAUUUAUAUUUAUUAUUCAAACUUCAAAGUCGCAAAGUCGGUAAAAGGUGAAAAAGCAAAAUGAUCUGAACUAUUGUAACAGAUUCCAACAUCGUCGUCGUCCCAAAUUCGUGAUAGAAACCAGAAACUGGAGAAGAUUCUUACGGAUUUAAAUAUUCAGUAUUACUUCCUUGACGGCAAUACCGGUGAGUAUAACGAGAAGGCCGGUAAGGAGGCACUGGGUGGGGGUGCAGAAGGGCUGUGAGUAGGAUAAGAGCGUCAUCGCAGCUCCCACCGAUCCGAUCAGCAAACCCAUCAGAUUCGAUUUCCUGUCCGCCAUUUGUAUCUUGAUCGUAAUUUGCAAAUUGAAUAAGAAUACCGAUUCUACGCUGACGCAAUUUAAAAGGGGCGAGAUUGCAAAUCGCCGACUCGCCGCCGUGUCCCUUCAGUAACUCCAACAGUCGAGGGAACACAUAUUCAUAUGACCCGUUUCUGAAUUCGGGUCAACUGAUCCGGAAACGUUAUCUUAAAUAAAAUGACAAAAAUACCCUUGUCUAUUUUAUCCUUCGUCUUAUUCGUUUCUGAAUUCGU